AUUCUACUGAGGCAUGUGUCCUCACCCUGCUGCAUGGUGCACCCCUGCUUGUGUGUCCGCCGGAUCAGAACCCCUCACUGCAGGGUGUACUGUCCCAGGAAGGGGGAGGCGGAUGGAGACAGGCUCCCAUUUUCAGCCCCAAACCUGACAUUCCACAGAGACGUUCCUCCCAUUUCCGCAGCUGCAUGGACACCCUCGUGUGCCCCAUUUCUGCUCGAUGCUCCCUAAUCUGAGCACCUUCAGACCCUUUCUGGUCCUGGGCUCAGGCCUCCUUGGCAGCCUCGCCCCCUCCUCCAGCCCAAGGAGCUGUUCUGUCGUGGCUUUGGAAUUCAGAUGCUCUCACUGUGAUAGAGAUGGGGUCUUGGGGGGCUGGGAGCUGUUCUGUCGUGGCUUUGGAGUUCAGAUGCUCUCACUGUGAUAGAGAUGGGGUCUUGGGGGGCUGCCUCCACCACUGCCUGCCCUGCUCAGCGCUGACCCACUUCCCUUGACCAGAGUUUUGGCCUCUCUGAAUGGGACGGUCGUUUUAGUCCUGAGGGCCCAUAAGAAGCCCAGUGGCGGCUGGGUGCGGUGGCGCACACCUGUAAUCCCAGCACUUUGGGAGGCCGAGGUGGGUGGAUCGUGAAGUUAAGAGAUCGAGACCAUCCUGGCCAACAUGGUGAAACCCCGUCUCUACUAAAAAUACAAAAAUUAGCUGGGCAUGGUGGUAGUCCCAGCUACUCGGGAGGCUGAGGCAAGAGAAUCGCUUGAACCUGGUAGGCAGAGGUUGCAGUGACCUGAGAUUGCGCCACUGCACCCCAGCCUGGCAACAGCAAGACUCCGUCUCAAAAAAAAAAAAAGAAGCCCAGUGGCUCCCUUAAUAAAAUCACCCCUUAGCCCUCUGUGGUGGGCAGUGGUGGGACUGUCUCCCUGUGGGGAGGGUGGCUGCACUGUCCAGCCCCAACCCUCCCGCUUCGGGACCCCCACUUCCCCUUUAGGGCCUGAGACUCUGACUUUACCUCCCACCGUGCUGCUUGGCCAUCCAGCAGCUUUAUGACACACACAAGAACCCCCAGGGGCUUGUCUGUGCUGUUUCGCUGGCUGCUCCCACAGCCACAGGCCCUAGACCCAUCCUCUUGGAGGUCCUUCUAGCGCUGCCUAUGUGGAGAUUCUUCCCCACUCAUCUUGGGGGUUUGGAUUUGUUGCAUAAAGCAGCUGACGUGUUUCCCACAGGGUCCUGCCAGCUAAGCCAAGGGCCCAUGCAUUGGCGCUGGGGUCUAGCAGAGAGAGGGGAGCAGGAUGGCCCGGCCUACCUCAGGCAGCCUAACCUAUGAGCCCAUCCUGAGUACUCCUGAUAGAGAUGGGGAGGUGCCCAGACAGACAGCAAGUGGGGCCCAGCCGCCUCAUCAGAAUCAGGGCCAGGCUCCACCUGGGAACAGGCCCGUAGCCUACAGCCCACGGCCCCUGAGAGCAGGGUCAUCACACUCUAAUGAGUCAUGUGCAUUUUGAAUUUCAGUUGCUGCCCAGCCCCUUUGCCAGGCCCUAAUGUCUUCCAGAUCUCUGGUGGAGAAUGUGCCCCUGCUCAUCAACAGAUAGCUGGCUGGGCUGGCUCCUUCCUGCCUGGUGCCUCCCCCGGCUGCCUUUAGCAAGUGCUGACUGCACUGAGUCCACUGGGAGCUUUUCCUUUUGGGUUUCGAGGCUCCUCCCACUCACCCCCACCCUAGUGCUGGAAGAAGUGAGUCUGCAGCUGAAGGGUUGCUGGGGAGUCAGUCUUUCCUCUUAUUUAGGAGGGGACCAGGCAUACACACACUGUCACAGGUCAGCCAGGCCAGUCAGGGACCAGUGACUCACCUUCCUCCUCAGCCUCCUGGCAGCCGGCCAGCCCUACCCCGGCCCUGCCGGGACGAAGGAGGCCACCCACUGUCUAGACAGAUAACACUGUGGGUAUACUUAUCUGCAGGGCAAGCUCAUGAGAAAAGUUUUUUUCAGGGAAUUUUGUUUUGGGGUCUCCUGAGAGUUCCCCUGUGGCCCAGUGUCUUCUGUUUUCUUCUUUCUCCAAAAAGAUUUAACAUCACUUCUUCCACCUAAAUGUCUGCCAAAGUCAUUGCUUCCCCAAGAGUCUGCAGCAUUAGAUCUGCUCUCCCCUUCUGAGCCACGCACCCUUGAUCUCUGUUCAUGGUGGCGGCCUCCGCAUCCUCAGGGCCGAGCAGGGAGUCCGUGGGUCAGCUGGGCUCCCUUCCUCGUGGGCUGAUAUCACCCCUGCAUGUGUGCACAGGCCUCACCCUGCAGACCACAGGCCAGGGCACUGGAGGACACCCACAGAGGCCUGUGCCUUCACUUCCAUUUCCUCGUGGAGCACCCCCUCCCAGGGGCUUGGGCUGAGCUGAGGGACAGCUGUCAUCCUCAUCUGGCCAAGGAGGGAGCCAGGGCUCAGCGAUCUGGUGUUGCUACGUCCCAGGGCUCCACGCCCCCAUGGUGCAGGAGCAGUCUCUGCAUUUGGCCACAGGCCACCUGCUUCCUUGCUCCCCCGCCCCACCGUGGCUUCCUUCCCCUCCUCUGGCUCUUCUUGUUCCCAUCUAUUCCACCCCUCUCUCCUUUUUCUGACAGGUCCAUGGCCAACCUCUCUGUCCUGUUUGGUCAGGUGGUCCGGGGGCUGAGUGCAGGCACCCGGGUCUUUGAGUACAUGGCCCUGAACCCCUGCAUCCCACUGUCUGGGGGCUGCUGCGUCCCCAAAGAGCAGCUGCGUGGCUCCGUUACAUUUCAGAACGUCUGCUUCAGGUCAGCACGGCUACCCCUGCCGCCCCGGCUUCGAGGUGCUGAAAGACUUCACCCUGACGCUGCCCCCUGGCAAGAUCGUGGCCCUCGUGGGCCAGUCUGGCGGAGGAAAGACCACCGUGGCUUCCCUGCUGGAGCGCUUCUACGACCCCACGGCAGGCGUGGUGAUGCUGGAUGGGCGGGACCUGCGCACCCUUGACCCCUCCUGGCUCCGGGGCCAGGUUGUCGGCUUCAUCAGCCAGGAGCCCGUCCUGUUUGGGACGACCAUCAUGGAAAACAUCCGCUUUGGGAAGCUGGAAGCUUCCGAUGAAGAGGUGUACACAGCCGCCCGGGAAGCGAAUGCUCACGAGUUCAUCACCAGCUUCCCUGAGGGCUACAACACGGUCGUCGGUGAACGGGGCACUACCCUGUCUGGGGGCCAGAAGCAGCGCCUGGCCAUCGCCCGAGCCCUUAUCAAGCAGCCCACGGUGCUGAUACUGGAUGAAGCUACCAGCGCGCUGGACGCAGAGUCCGAGCGGGUUGUACAGGAGGCCCUGGACCGGGCCAGUGCAGGCCGCACGGUGCUGGUAAUUGCCCACCGGCUCAGCACUGUCCGUGGGGCCCACUGCAUUGUCGUCAUGGCCGAUGGCCGUGUCUGGGAGGCUGGGACACAUGAAGAGCUCCUGAAGAAAGGCGGGCUAUACGCCGAGCUCAUCCGGAGGCAGGCCCUGGAUGCCCCGAGAACAGCGGCCCCACCGCCCAAAAAGCCAGAAGGCCCCAGGAGCCACCAGCACAAGUCCUGAGAAGGGCCCCCUGAGGUGUGGUCGCUGCCAAGCAUCAGUGUUAGGGCUGGGGCUCAGCCUGGGGGAGCCUACUGGGGACUGAGCCCCCAGGAGGGCCAGCAUGUGGAGAGUCACCGCGGCUGCUCCUGUUCACAAUAAAGCCGAGGCCGAGCAGCUGGCAGGGGAGGCCAAUCCCUCCCUCCCCUCCCCAGUCCUGCCGGCUGCCUCCCUCCC
rnacentral:sRNA from 1 species